rnacentral:tRNA from 2 species
GCGCUCGUAGCUCAAUUGGAUAGAGCGUCGGCCUCCGAAGCCGAAGGUUGUGGGUUCGACCCCCGCCGAGCGCACCA